rnacentral:rRNA from 1 species
UGUAAGCGUAUACCAAAGUUGUUGCAGUUAAAACGCUCGUAGUCGGAAUUUGGCAGUUCCGGAUGUGUGCACGUCGUGUGCGCACUUCGCGGGGAUUGCUUUUGUGGUCUUGCGUAGGAUGAGGCACUUUUAUUAGUGAACGUCCUCACGCAACCACUUUUUACUGUGAGAAAAUCAGAGUGCUCAAAGCAGGCAUUUGCCGUGAAUGUAUUAGCAUGGAAUAAUAGAAUAGGACUUGGUUCUAUUUUGUUGGUUUGUUGGGACUGAGUAAUGAUUAAGAGGGACAGUUAGGGGCAUUUGUAUUUCGGUGCUAGAGGUGAAAUUCUUAGAUUACCGAAAGACAAACUGCUGCGAAAGCGUCUGCCAAGGAUGUUUUCAUUGA